rnacentral:rRNA from 1 species
AGUGAACGCUGGCGGUAGGCCUAACACGUGCAAGUCGAACGGCAGCACAGUAAGAGCUUGCUCUUACGGGUGGCGAGUGGCGGACGGGUGAGGAAUACAUCGGAAUCUACUUUUUCGUGGGGGAUAACGUGGGGAAACUUACGCUAAUACAGCAUACGACCUACGGGUGAAAGCAGGGGAUCUUCGGACCUUGCGCGAUUGAAUGAGCCGAUGUCGGAUUAGCUAGUUGGCGGGGUAAAGGCCCACCAAGGCGACGAUCCGUAGCUGGUCUGAGAGGAUGAUCAGCCACACUGGAACUGAGACACGGUCCAGACUCCUACGGGAGGCAGCAGUGGGGAAUAUUGGACAAUGGGCGCAAGCCUGAUCCAGCCAUACCGCGUGGGUGAAGAAGGCCUUCGGGUUGUAAAGCCCUUUUGUUGGGAAAGAAAAGCAGCAGGUUAAUACCCCGCUGUUCUGACGGUACCCAAAGAAUAAGCACCGGCUAACUUCGUG